UACCGAACCUUCUCACUGCCAGCCAUAAUUACAAUGAAUACACCAAAGAAAAAGACAUGUUUUUACAGCAAACCUCCUCCUAUGACAUUGCAUUUAGAUUCGGUGGAAAGAAGCAAGUCAGCAGAACCAACAGAGAUAGAUACUAAUUUUUCUAAUCACACCGUAGAAAGUACCAAUUAAAGUUUUCUUUUUUACCUGCAACAUUUUAGAUGAAACUCUACAAAAAGAAUUGAGCACACUGAUUUUCUCCACACUUUUUGCCAAUGUAGGUUGGCUUUAAUAGAAAGAAGCAAUUCCAUAUACUCUUCAAAGGUGAUUUCAAUUUUAUAGUUUAAUCUAAAAUUUUUCCCAGAAUUAUUAUAUCCAUGAACUAGUAGUCAGAUUAUAUUAUAUGAGAAAAAAUAAUGUUUUAAUUUUUCUAUUUUCUUAACUCCAGCCUCAAACUUUGCUCUUGAGAAAUAGUUUGCACACAUGUGGAAUAAUAUUAAAAUGUGCCAUAAUAGAAUUAAAGAGACCAAAAAGACACCUUUUUCCCCAGUGCUUUUUAGACUGACUAUGCUGCACGGUAACUGGAAUUUUAGUAAUAUUUCAGACUUGUUAAAGAUUAAGCAGGCUUUUUGAUGGAGCUAUAUUUGUUCUCUUCUCUCUAGUGUCUCUAUGAUGUACCCUAGUGGCCAUCAGACAUCCUAAAUUGUGAGUCCUGUAUAUUAAUUAUAAGGGGAGUGUCUAUAGUAACCUAUCAACACCCAACGGUGCUCAAGACUGAAUGAUAAACAGUGACAGAUUGAUUCCUUGCUUCCGGUGUUUACUGGAGAAACAAACAUUAAUCCUCUUGCAGUUAUCACCUAUGGAGCUUCCUACUAGAAGGUUCUAUGACUUCAAUGAAGGAUAUUUACAUACUAUUAUCAGACUUCUCCAAGGCCUAUAAACUAUUGUGCAUUUCUAUAAAAUAGUCACAUUUGCUACAUUUAUAGGACUUCUUGAUAAUAACGAUACAACUUGGAACAGACAUGAUUACAUCUCUAAAGUGACAGAGGUAUAUGAAGGAAACACAUAAGGAAGUAGGGGUCAAGCCAGAAAAAGUUAAGGCACCCUCUGCCACUCCCCACUCCCACUGAAUCAACCAUCUCCCUCUUCUCCACAGCUUCAACAAGAAAAAAAUUACCUGAAAGAAUUUUAGCACAAUAUAGAGAUCAAUAGAAACACAGAGGAGUGACCAUAAAAUAUAAUUCCUCUUCUGUGCUUUAAAAAGUUAGAGUCAUAGGCUUUGAUUAUCUGGCAAAUGCUCGCAGGCAUGUAAGUCAAUUUAAAAUAUGGUAUUUAUUCCUUAUGUAUUAGAGACAGAAGAAAUCAGAAAUGUUGGCACCAGAGAAAACAAAUUAGAGGGAAACAGAAACAUGUAUUUUCCCUUACUGAAAUGGUGAGCAGGGGCUGUGUUAUGUUUCAAUAAGCUUUUCAUUCAUGCACUUGUUUCAAUCUCUCACCCCUAAGAUGUAUGUAAAAAAUUCAAAAGACAAGUCUGGGCUGAGGGUAAAGCAGAUGGUAUCCAUUUUCUUAUGAUAGAAGGGAAAAAAAGCUACAGCAAUUAUAGAUUCAAGUCUCCUUCCACUUGCAAAAUAGAAAUUUUCUAGUGCUCAACCUAAAUAUUGUGGCCUCAUAUUUAGGAGUUUAUAAACAGACGCUCUGGGCUUCAGACUUCCUGUGAGUUAGUCUCUAGGACUUUUAAAGAAGCUAUGUAGGAACUGGUAGAAUAUUUGAUAUCUCCCUAGCUUCAAGGACUCAGACUAUCCAUAUGAAUGAGGGGGAAAAGUUCCACUUUAGAAUCACUGGCAGGGCUAUAACUAGGUCGGGGUGAUCAGACUCUGCCACAAAACACCCACAUUUAGACAGCACGAGUUUAAGCAAAAACAAAACAGUUUAAGGCAGUGUAAAAUUUUGAGGUCCUCAGCGAAUUUCCACACUACCUCUCUAGUCACAAUGCUACUAGCUCAACUCUGGAGCCAAGGCAGCUCUCCUGGGAGAGGACAGAGACUGACGGUGCUAAAAAGCCAAGGUUAAGGGUAGAGAGCACUCUGCCCUUUUACAUCCUGAGAGUGUGGGGAUAGGGUCAUCUCCUUUCAACUUGCCUCACCCUCCUCCUAGCACAUAGUGGAAUGAAGUUGCUAGUUAUGUUUACUGCUGACUUUAUUAGAGGUUUUGACCUAGGUUGCCAGGCCUUGAAAUUGUUAACCCACUUCUACCACUUCCACCCCUGACGUGUGCCCAAUAAAAGUCAUAUAACCUGAGAGUCGACCUAUACGACGGGAAGAUAAAGAAAAAGCACAACAUUACUCUCAGUCCUUAUUCCUCCACAAGUUUGCGUCAAGUUCACAUAAACGUCCUUACAGCUUUUGAUCUUUGGAAUUCUACAAACAUAGAGAAUAUAUUACCUGGUGCUGGUGGGAAAGUAUUUACACAACACAAUGAACAUUUCCUAAAGUUUUCAGUGGACUGGUAACAUUCCCCUCCCCCUUAGGUCCCUCCUAACAAGUAUUUGUCAGUGAAAAAUUUCACAAAGUCAAUAUUUCAACCACAGAAGUUAAAACUCUGGAUGGCUGACUUUCUAUUAAUAAUCAAAAAAUGUAUAUAAUAAAGUUAUAAAACUGGAAUAUGUAGCUGCUGACGAAAAGAAAUGUUAUCAAUAUUGUUUCCAUUUUGGAUCAUCUAUAACACUCUUGUAAAGCCUUUGACUAAUCCAAGGGUAUUUUUGGCAAAUUUAAAAUCCCAGGAUUUUUUCAGUUAUUUUCCAUUUUAAGCCAUGUUGUCCAGAUUGCUUCAGGUACAAGUUAUAUAUAGCCUAAACAAUUUUUUUUAGCCAAGAGAAAGACA
rnacentral:lncRNA from 1 species